ensembl:lncRNA
CACGACACCAGAUUUACACAAAUCGAGUUUCCAGCAGCUUCAGGAGGGUCAGUUGUGAGUUAUUCAACAGAAAUGUCUCACAUCCUUCUUCUUCUUCUUCUUCUGACUUUUGAGACUGUGGAAUUAGAAGAGAUAAAAGUGAGGCCUAGACAAGAUGUCACUCUUCACUGUCAGGAUCCCAGUGGUGUAAAUAUCACUCUGUUAGAGUGGAGCAUACCUGAGAUUAAGUCAGACGGAUACGUCUUCUUCUACCGAAACGGGCGCUCAUAUGAAAGCUACCAGCAUGAGCGUUUUAAAGGCCGAGUGGAGCUGAAACACCCGUCUAUGAAAAACGGAGACGUUUCUGUGAUUCUCAAGAACGUCAACGUCAACGAUACAGGAACAUAUGAGUGUCGGAUUAUAACCAGUGAUCUCAGCAGCGGUCAGAGAGUUCAGAGUGAGUCCAGGCGGUCCAUCGACCUCACAGUCAUAGACUCUGAGCUUGAUUUUACCGUGAGAACAGCAGGUGAGCGUGGUGGAGCUUUUAGCAGGAUCUCGUCCUUUCUCCUGAUCUGCAUCCUCGCCUAUUGUGCUGCCUUAAGGCGUUGAAACUCAUCAGAAAACUGCUCAGUCGUGAAGUUCAGUACAAAUGUUGUGGAUCCAAUCUGACUCUGAGUGAUGAGCCGAGUCCAUUGUAAAUAUCCACUGUCAUACAAAGGAUAUUUGAAGAUCAAAAGGGGACAGUGCAAUGAGCAAAAUCAAAGUGGAAGAAGAUGGACGGAUGUUCAAAACUAAAACCUGAAUAAAUGAAAGUGAGCAGGACACGAGGUCGUAUCAGGAAUUUGAAGGAAGAUCGAGGUAUGAAAGCCUGUGGAGGGAAAUGGAGCCUCACUCUGUUUUUUGUUAUGUUUUCUUAUGUUAUGUGGCUCAAAUUAGGAGAUGAUACAUAUUUUCUGUGUAUUCGUAUGUAUGCAUUUGAACAUGUUCAUUUCUCUGUACCAUGUUUUUAUAUUUCUCCUUUGUUUGUUGUGACAUAAUUUUAUGAUAUUUAUUGUUGUUGAUCUGAUCACAGAAAUAAAAUGAGAGCCUCACAAGUAA